CCCCUCUACGCAUGCGCUUUGACCCGCCUCCAAUCUGAGUCCGAAUUUCCGAAGCCUCCCUUGCGGCGCAUGCGCCAGAGAAGGCUGACGGUAACGUCUCUUGCAGCUUACAGACAGGUUAACAUGACCCAUCCCCCUUCUGGACACACUUGAUGACACAGGCCCUUCCCUGGGAGACACUUGAUCGGGAUAAGAAGUAAUGGGUUUAAUCUGCAGCAAGGGAGAUUUAGCUUAGACAUUAGGGGACACGUUCUAAUUAUAAGGAUAGGUAAGCACUGGAAUAGGCUUCUAAGGGAAGUUGUGGGAUCCCUGUAAUUAGAGGUUUUUAAGAACAGGUUAGACGAAUACCUGUCAGGGAUGAUCUAGGUCUACUUGGUCUCUCACCUCAGCACAGAGGGCUGGGCUAAAAGACCUCUUGAGGUCCCUUUCAGUCCUAAAGUUCUGUAAUUCCCUCAGGGAUCCUAACUCCCAAUGACUGUACUGUAUGAGCACAAAAACAAUCAUUAUCUUACUAUUAGAUGUUACAGGCACAUCCCUUAUUUAAACCUGAGCAAAUAGAUUACUAUGGCUGUCUCUCUUUAUAAUAAUAUUCUGAGAUGUGUUGAAGAUGUUAUAUAUUAUUUUAUUAUAUUAUGUAUAUAAAUCCAUAGAAUUUUGGGGCCCUGUGCACUGUGGCAGUUGCCCUCCCCCCUUCCCUGCUUCUGGAGGGUGGGAGCUCCCGGAGGGUGAGAGAGCAAGCCCUCCCUGCCCUCAUCCAACAGCAGCUCCUGGCUGACCUGGCUCUUCACUCUGACCUGUUGGCUUUCUCCACAUUGUUCAGGAGUGACACUCCCCCUGUGAUGUGGUGCCCUGUCACAUCCCCUUUGUGGUCCUGAGUUGCUUUGUGUGUGGGUGUGGGAGGGUGUUUUUUUCCUCCGGUGGUUGGGGGCUCCACUGAGAUGGGAACCAUAUGCCAGUGCACUGAGUGCACAUUGGUUAGUCCGGGCCUGUUGAAGGCUCUUAGCACCUCACAGAAUCAGACCUUAUAUCUCAGUUUCCAUUUAAAUAAAAGAAAGUUUCUAGCGGUUUUGCUUUCAAAGGUAUCUUUGAAAAAGUAAACUGAUCACCAGGAUUGAAGGUUUGUUGCUUAUUUUUCUGAAAGCCAGUGACAGCCUCUCCACCCCUUUACCUAGAGCUGAUCUAUGAAAAACAGGGCCACUGGACUCCUUGAUUGAUGCCUGCAUGGAUAAGUGCCAUCUAGGUCACUACUGAUUUAAUGCUGAUACCACUCUGUGAGGCACUCUAAGCCAGCUGUCUGCAGCUGGACCAGCUCCUAUGCUGAGCAGAAGAUGAAACUUCUAGCCACAAGGAUGGGUGACUCAGUAAGGUGAGAUGCAAUGUAAAGUAUGGGAUUAACAACAAUGGGCUGUUGCAUUCUAGUCCUGGGUGUGACAGACUCCUUUGACAGUUUUGCCAAAUCACUUAACCUUUCUGUUUUAAUUGCUACAUCCGUAAAGUGGGGAUAAUAAAACUUACCUCAGAGGAUGUUCCAGCAAUUGAUUAGGUAUUAUUUAUGCAUUUGCUCCGGGCUGCACACAAAACCCUCUGAAGCAGAGUUCCCCAAAUUGUGGGGCGUGCCCCUCGGGAGGGAGUGGAGGAACGUUCAGGAGGCCCAGCUGGGGCCGAGGCCUUUUCUGGAGUCCUGAGUAUAAUGAAAAUGAGCCUGCUGUGGCUGACCUCUCCUUUGAAGGCUCCAACCUAUUUUUAUGAAGGAGAUUCAUGAUAAUACUGUUUCUCUCCCUGCUGUCAGCAGCCAGACUGAGCACUGCCUCUCCUGCAGAGAUUCACAAGCCUACACAUGCUCAGUGAGUUUCCGUGACCAGCACAGAGGACUAAGGAUCCAGGCAUGUAACAUUGAGCAAUUAAAGUAAACUGCUAAUAGUCAACACACUUUUAAGAGAUGGAUUACACACUGUUGUGAUAAUGAUGGACAGGAACUGGCUAUUUGGUAGGUGGGUAACAGGAAAAAUUGUGUUGCAGGCCUACCCAAAAAUGCUAAGGCUGCUUUUGAUAGUGACAUCAUAACUUUGAACAUUUUUCAGGAAAACUCAGUUCUUGCUGGUAGUGAAAAUCAACCAUUUUUAAGAUAAUUAAAAAAGUACUCUAUAUUAAUCAUUUAUAGACUAUCCUGGUUUUGUGCUAAAGGAAUUUGAUUACCUUACAUGUGUUCACGUUUAGUUGCGUGCUGUUAAAUGUGGCAAAUUUACUAACUAAAUUUUAGGCUUCAGUGCUCAUUUUGCGACUCACCACACUUUUUAUCUCAGCUGGAAGAUUUUGUAAAAGGCUGACCAACUCUCCAUUCUAUUGAAUUCUGUUCAAAUAAAUGGAUUAAUCAUUUAAUCCCAACAAGUGCAAGCAGUAAUUUUAAAACUCAAAGCCACUUUUUCAGCAUUGUGUCAAUAACCUUUCAGCUCAAGCAAGAAUUGACUUUUGACACUGACUGGAUGCACUAAAUACACUUUUAAAAAUAUCUCUAAAGCUAUCAUUAAAAAGGCAUAAACAUAGCAAUGCACAAGUGUACCUCUGUUUAGGCAUCAAUUUCAGCUGUGCAUUCAUUACAUCUUAAAAAGGAGCAAAAUAUCUUUUAUAUUUUUAAUUACAACAAAAGUACCAACAGUGAAAAGGAUGGGGCAACAAUCAGUAAAAGAUCACAGAGGGACCAAUGACACACGUGGCUACUUCUGAACGGUAGCCAAAUGUCAGUAAGGCAGAGGUGUGCACCUUGUAAGCAUACUGAAACAAUUAGGGUUGUGAUGACAUUUCUUUGUUCAUAGCAAGUAUAUUUUUAUCCAGUACAGUAAUCUUAGAAAUAUUUUACCUAACACCAUAAAAAAGUAGAAGUUAAAGAAGGAACUAUUCAUAGAACACACCAAGAUGACAAGUCAAUUUCACAUAGAGUAUAUAUGCAUGGGUUUUGAUGAGUUAUAAAAAGAAUUAUUAACACGUUUCCAAAGCUUACUAUCUCCACCUCACUGCAUUCAUUUCUGAAAGGCUAACUCAAGACUUCCUGCAGAUUUAUAAUGGUGAUGGUAGAGCAAGAGAUAUUUUUCUGAAUAUAGGAAACUCUUGCUUGUGGGUGGAGAAUAUUUUUCUGACUAUAGGAAACCCUUGCUUGUGGGUGCAGAUUAGGCUGGUAUGUGUCUGCAAGCAAACCAAAUCAAGUCAUUUCUUAGAGAGCAAUUGUUCUGGGAAAGAAGAGAAAUAGACCACUUUUUUAAAAAAUAGAUUGACCCUGGACUAGAGGUUUUUAAAAGGAGGAAAGUCAGCAAUGGGCCUGAGAACAAAUACCCUCAUUUACCAGUUGGUCUCAUGUCUUAAUAAGGAUAAUGCAGCACCUCACAAGAGCCUUUGCCCCCAUAUGUGUCUGCAAAAUAUGGUUCAAAGGCUGCCAUAGCAUACAAGCCAUCUGGUAAGUUAGGAAUACAACCAACCAAGUGAAGAGAUCCUUUUCUGGCACAGGAAUGUGGAUGUGAGAAAGUGAGGAAGUGACAAGGGCCCAUGAUACAAGAGGGAAUGGGCCAUCUGUCUGGCAGUGCUGUGUCUGACAGGUUGAGAGUCUGAAUGCAGUGCCCCUAAAGUUCAGGUGCUGGAUGGAAGGUGUAGCGUAAGCAAGGAAGCCUGAGUUAUAUAUCUUCUCUCUCCUGUAGUUGCAGAUAAUGCUGCAUCCAUAUAUUUCCAGGCUUAGACAGCAAGGACUGGGAAUUGGAACCCAAGUUUCUGUGUAUUAUGUAAAAGGCCAAUACUAGAUGCUGAGGCUGGCCCAAGUCAGCUGCCAUUAUUCAAUUCUCUCCUAUGCCCUUUCAUCACUAAGUAGCCAUGGCAGCAUAACAGCACAUAUUGUAUAUCCUUUCUUACAUCUUCCCCUAUAAAAAUUGCAGCAACGAAGAGUCUUGAAAAGAUUUGCUUCUGUAUAGCUAUUGAGUAUCUAUGUUUUCUGUUUCAUCAUGUUACUUUUUCAUUUAUAAUAUUUUAUUAUUUUGGGGGCUUAUGCUGGAGCAUUCUUAGCAGCUGCAACUCCCUUUCAAUGGGAAGUGGGAGUGUUCACCCUUCACAAUGAAGUCUAUUAUAGUUGUAGUUAUUAUUAUAGUGUCUCACAGUUACAUAAUGCCUUUAAUCCCAAAGUGAUUUGCAAACUCCUUAGGAAUCCUUUUAACAACUGCUUGUUGUGAAGCUAUCCCCGCUGUAGAGGAAAGCAGCUGUUUAACAGCACACUGCAGUACCAUUUAGGACAGGGAGCAAAGAAAAAUACAACCUCCCCCCCCACCGUCCCCACCCCACAAGCACCUGCGGCACUCUCAAGAUUUAGUCAGGGGUAUAGUACAAGUCAUGGACAGGAAUUAUUUUGUUAUUUUAUUUAUGGCCCGUGACCUGUCCAUUACUUUUACUAAAAAUACUGUGACUAAAAUGUAGCCUUAGUCACAACUAAUGUUCAAAACCUUGUUUUUACAUUUUAUUUGAUGUAAAAUACCUACUAAUUAAACAAUCCUUUUUCACACCAUGCUGGGAUAUUGGUUUACUAUUAUUUUUAAUAUUUCUAUUGCUUUAGUGUUCAGAGGCCUGCAUCGGGAUUGGACCCUACUGUGUUUAGGUGCUGUAUGGCCACAGGUCUAUGUCCUGAAGAGCUGAUCCAGAGAGAAAAGCACCAUCUAUUAGGUAGGGAAUAAUAUUGCCUAUGCCACCUUGAGUUUUCUUGGUGAACUGCUCCUUCAAAUACUGACCAGGCUUGACCCUCUUUAACUCAUGAGAUAAGAACAGCCAUCCUGGGUCAGACCAAAGGUCCAUCUUCCCCAGUAUUCUGUCUUCCGAUCGUGGCCAAUGUCAGGUGUCCUACAGGGAAUGAACAGAACAGGUAAUCAAGUGAUCCAUUCCCUGUCCCCCAUUCACAUUCCCAGUCACAAUCCUGGUGGUGAUACAAUGCACAGUACUAAUUUCAAGAACAACAUAUGCAAUUUCAUCUUCUCAUAACAACAUGUAAGCCAAAAUGCUUACAAAUAAACCAAGACAUUUCUUCUGUACCAGGAGUUUGAAUUAGGUGACUGAGUUUUCCUGGCAUUGAGAGGAUUAUUCUCUGUUUUACCUAUUCCAUCCCUGUUAUAAGUAUAUAUAGUUACACGUACUUUUUUGUGUCUUGUUAAUUUGCAAAGAUUACUUUUCCACUGGGUUUCCUGCAUCUUGGUAGUAUUCCCCCUUGAUUCUCUGGAUUCCGUUGCUCAAUUGUCUGUUUAUGAAGCAUCUGGUAACUUGAAUGCAGUUAGAGUUUUUUAGAUUUGUCAUUUAGCCUUUGGAUAGUCUUCACUAUAGUCCCCAGAGUCUUGUAUUCUGUUUUUAACUUCUCCUGUUCAUAUCACAUGCCAUCCAUUGUGUCUGGAUAGCUUUUCGAUGAGUAUUUCAAUUAUGUGUCAAUAUGAAGUAUUUGUUAUGGACUUCAAAAGACUCUGGUUUUCAUUUGUCAUUUGAGCUUUUGUACAUAGAGUGCUUAGAGCAUACUGAACUUUGGAAGCACUUUUGCAGAUCUUCAUGCCUUUGUUUGAUCCCUAAUUUCUAGGGGACUCUUAAGUAUCUUUAGCUAUUAGCAAUUGUUUUAACAAGAUGAUUUAAACAUAAACUAUUCUUCAUGAUAAUCUGAGCUGGUGAGGCACAGUAUGUUCACCAAUAUAAGUGAUUCUAGAUUCCACAGUACUGUGAUAUGAAUCAUUUCCUGCUGUCUCUAAACUUUUAACAGUCUGAUGCCUUCCUCAUGCAGAACAUUUCCUUAUCAACUUUUUGGGUUAUACAACAUAGCUUUACUGAGAUUUGCCAAUAUAUAAAUACUCAUUCCUAUUGUAUUUGAACAAAUUUGUUUCCAGAAUUUUCCCUCGGCAAUCUAUUACCUUAUUUUUUAACUUAAUUUCAGCUUUGCGGUUGUUCAUUUAUUUGGAGGCUGUCAAAGAUGAAAAAGCACCACUGUGUUAUUAGUGAUCAUCAUGAGUUAUACUGGUUCCAGAUUUCGAGCUUGAUCCAGCUUCCAUUGAGGUCAAUGGGACAAAUCGCUGACUUCACUGUCAGCAAGACAAGGCCCUAAUCCAGUUUUUUAGUUGCAGUAUUGGUUCUGGGUUUACAAUACCUCAAUAUAGAAAUAAAACACAACUGUACAGUGUUUGUGUCUGAAUAAUAAUAUAUACUUUCUGUUGAAUGCUCCAUAUUAGAACAAAAACUCAGUUCUUAUUUUUUCACAUGGUGAUCUGGAUUACUUAGUGGUUUUUUUGUAGAAUUACAGAUGCCUGAACUUGUUCAUGGGAUUUUUUUUUUUUUUUGGUUUUUUUUUUUUUUUUUUUUUUAACAUCUGGGUCUACAAACCAGAAAUCAGGGAAUUUCAGCACCUAACAUUCCCAGUAUAGGGCUCCUUAUUUUCAGUCUCUAUCUACUUACACAGUGCUUGAGAUUCUUCCUAUUGAAGCUAAUAGAAAAUCUUCCAGUGACUUCAACAGGAACAAAAUUUUUGUGCACAGUCCACUGUUCUGUCAUGAUUCGUGAAUAUGAGUAUGAAUCUGUAAUGCAGAAUCCAUGCAUAGUGAUAAGGAAUGUACUUAUUUGUUUGGAGGAAAAUUAGAAAAAAAAUUAUUUAAUAAGAGAAAUUAAUUCAUCUAUGCAAGCAGGAAAGAGCUAAGUCCAGUUCAGAAAUGCCACCUACCAAAGCUAUGGAAACAGGAUAUAGAGUUGUAAGUGUUACAUCCUCAGAAUACACUCUAAUUGACUGACCUGGGUGCACGAAACAGUUAACCAGCAGCUUCUGUGAAGUGAUGACCCCUCUUCUACAUGUCACAUACAUCACAGUGCUCACUGUGAUAUCACUGGAGUUGGUAUAAUGAAGUUCACAUAUCCAUGAGAUGAUAUAAUCUUCCAGUUUAAUUGUAAAUUAAUUCUGGGGCACAUGUCACCUCAGCCUUAUUGUCUGGUUUUUCAGCAGUGAUUGGAGACUGAUGCAAUCCAAGUAAGAACAGGAUGGUUCUAAAGACUUAUUAGUUCAAGAGCACUGUUCAAAAGACUCUUAAUUUGAUCACUUGCUAAGAAUUAUUCAGAAUUAUUUUUAAAACAGGUAUUAAUAAAUCUUGUGCGCUGCUGAUUUUCCAUUCCUUUGAAUUCCAUGAGUAAAUCCUGUCUUUUUUGCAGUCAGUAGGGUCAGAAUUUCACCCCAUAUAGUUAAAUAUUGUUUUGAUUUAGCAAUAAUUCAAUAUUCCAAAAACCUAAAAUAACAGAUUGUCCUAAUAAUUCAAAAUUUUCCUGUUGCAGCAAAAGAUGUCUAGGAAAAAUUUAGCAGCACAUGAAUUGUAUUCUUGUAAAGUUAAGUAAUGGAUGAAUAAUAUGCAAAAUAAUCAAAAUUCUCAUCUUGUGCUAGCGCAGUGAAGAUUUAUUGCACCUACAACAUUUGGACUUAGUACUUUCUUCUCAAAGCAAAAGGUAUGCAAAGUUUCAACAGGUCCAACAUGCAAAAUAAGUGCUCUGUGGAAAGACUGUGUGAUUGAAGCACUGAAUUAAAGACAAUAAUACUCAGCUCCCACGCUGAGAGGAAUCAGAUCUGUGUCUUAAUUGUAUAAUCCUUCCGCCUGAGUAUCCAUUGGAUGGAUGGACAGAUGGACUUUCUCUAUCUGCUAGAAUUCCUCAUCAUCAUCUCAUUGCAUGCUUCCUUGAAAACCAAUAAAAUAACGCUGAUUUUUCACACUAAUUCUGCAAAGUCUUUAUUAAUACUUGUUUCUCAGUGUGUGGAUGGCUCAUUGGCAGUAUCACAAUGCAGCCAUCUCUACUCUGUGUUAUACAUUUCACAGUUUCUAAGCCAAGUUUUGGGUCAACCUGCCAUUAUGUAAACAAUGUUCUGCUUAAAAACAUUUUUUUCUCCAUCCCAUACCUUUGUAUGUCUGCAAUCCUACUGUUUGGCACAUCGCCUUUUGGCACAGCAAAGGGUAUAUAUGUGCUGGUAAAAUAAUAUGACAAUUUAGUGUCCAUGGACUCAGACUUCAGUCUGCUGAAAAAUAGAACAUGGUAUGUCCAUAACUUGUUUCCUAUGUAUUGAAUUGAUCCAGCCUUUAACUGCCCUUUGGGAGAUAUAUAUGUGCCUCAGAAUUAAGUUAAUGGACUAGUAUGUGUGUAUAUAUACACAUAUAUAUAUAUAUAUACACACACACACACUGUCUGAAAAAGCCUCUCCAUUUACUUCCUUCCCAACCUUGCUGUGAGCCCCAUCUCCUGAAAAGUCUCCUUCCAGCUAAGAGAAGAUGGAGGUUCCUUCUCCUAUUGCUCGUAAACUUCAUGCUGAAUACAAUAUGGAGGAGGAGGUAGCUGAAAUGGAAUGUGAGACCUGUCCACUCCCAUAUACACAUCAGGGGCUGGGUGCGUUGCCACUGCAGUGCUUUCAGCCUCUGCCGUCCUGGGUAGUUCAGAAGCUCUGCUUUGCAGCACAAAUCACUGGAUCAGAUUCUGAGAUGCGAGUCUAAAUUGCUUUAACUUACACCUUCUUCCACCCACUCCGCAUAUAAGUUACAUCAGCUUAGAUUGCCUUAGACUCACACUCACAUACUGUAAUUUACACAUCACCUCUGAAUUUGGCAUCCUGAUUAUGAACUCACACUGGUGUAAAUCAGGAGCAACGUCAGUGAAGUUAAUGAUGCUGAAACAUUGUAAAAUUGGUGAGAGACAAAUCAGAAGUAGGUCCACUGAAUCUAAGGGAAGGGAAGCUUGUGUAAUUUAUACGAUGAGUUGUACAUAAGGGUGAUAGCUGGAAAAGUAACUGAAAGAAGGUGUAAGAGUUACUGACCUUCCACCUUAUUUUACUGUACUAGUAAUUAUAGCUAUUGUUUGUACUGCAGUAAUACUUUGGGGCCGCUAUCAGAGUUCAGGGCCCCAACUCCCAUAUUGUGUUAGAUUUUUUCCCGUCUUGUUGCAUAAAUAACAACUAUUGCAUACUAUCUUUGUUUUUUCUUUGUGACUUAUGGAAGAAUAACAAAGGCAAAUGCAAAAAGAACACUGCUGUUAAAAAUCUAAACUGUGAUCCUCUUCUGGAAUGAUAUGGCAAUGUAAAUGUAUGUGGUUAUAAUUACACUAACCUGCGAAGGUAAAACAUGGUUUAUGCCCUUUUUUUCCUGCUCUAUGAUGUAUAUAAAGUCCUGACAGGUCUAAAAAUAGUGUUGGGAUGAAGAUGUUUCUAUAUAUUUCUUACCUUAGAAAUAUCAGGAAUAUUCAAUCUAACUUUUCCAUGUUUUUUAUUUUCUGUAUUUGAGGACACAGUUUUGAAUUGGGAGAUUUCUUAGCCCUUAAUUAGGCCCUAAUCCUGCCCCAUAGAAGUCAAUGGGAGUUUUAGCAUUGGCGUCAAUAGAAGUAGGAUCAAGCACUUCGUGACUGGAGAGUCCAAUCUUUACAAACAGUCUUUCUUCCACUAUUUAUAGCAAGUUUGAUAUUCAUUGUUUAAACUCCCUUUUUGUCUUUGUUUCUGCAUAUACUUAUGUAAUGCACUAGUGUGGUAUGUGUGAUGUCAUAAAACUACUAGUUCUCCAGUUGUCCAGAGACUCUUCCCGGAAAAACAGGACAGACAUGCAGAAAAAGUCUAAAAAAACCCAAACAACCCAACCCUUCCAAGUCUUCAUUACACAUCAUGGCGGGGGGGGUGGGUGGUAGGGGUAGAAGGGUGAAGACACAACCCCCUUUUAUUUGCUUGAUUUGUUUUUUCAGGUCACCUUUAAAGCAGCUAGAGUGGUGGUGUGUUGGUCUAGUGGCUACAGGUUGCACUGUCAUAUACAGAUCUAGGUUUUGUUCCUGAACCCCUAAGCUUGCCUGUGCUAACCCUAACUGGAGGCUGUGCCUUGCUCAUCUCUAAUGUGUCUUUCUUGCAACACCUGGAGUGUUUCUGAUAAGGUCCAGAGGGAGUUUCCCCCAGCCCUCUUUGACAAAAGGGAUGGUUGUCAUGAUUUAAGGCCAUCAGUGGUUGGAAGAUAUAUAUCAUGAAAACAGUGGGAACACUGGGUCUCAAAUAAAUAAAAGGUCUCUGGGAAAUAUAGAGUAGGUAGAGAUGGCUGAGAUUUUUGACAGAAAAAUGUUCCCAUCAAAAACAGAAUUUUAAUGAAAGUAAGAUUUUUCACCAGAAAACGUGCUUUAAGUAUAUUUUUCCUAUGGGAAAUUUGUAAAUGAAAAUUUUCAUUUAGUUUUAAAAAGUGAAAAAUGUAUUUCAGUUUUUGAAAAUCACCUUUUAAAAAUAUUUCUCUUUACAAUUUUUUCUUUUUUGUCACUUAAAGCAACAGAGUGAAUGAUGCAAGGAAAGGUUCCCUUUUUUUUUUUUCCUGUUUAGUGGGUUUUUUCCCCCCCUCACCAAUUUACUUCUUCUAUUCUGUUGCUUUUCAAAACUUCCCCAAUAUUUACAAAGUUAGAGGGGCAGAGUUAAGUUGGACAAGUUUUGAAAAGUUCAAAUAGAAAAGGAAUAAAUGUCUGGAGGGAGCAAUACCCUGGACAGUAUUCAUUUUAUUUCAUGCAGUGGAAAUUUAAAAAAAAAAAAAAGAAGACUUUUUUUAAAAAAAGAGAGAAACCAGGUAGAAAGGAGAAAAAAUAAUUUUAAAAAAUUGAAAAUUUAAAAAAAAUGAUAAAUUGCACCAUUUCAGACUCCUCAAAUGGAAAUGACAUCACAAUUGUUCAUGAAAUUGUUUUCCAGUGUUUCAAUCAGCUCUAAUAAGGGGCUUGAUUCAUCACUGUGUUCCAGUUUUAUGUCAGUUGAAUUCCAUGGAAAUCACUGGACUUUCACUGACCUAAAACUGCAGUAAUGCAGGCAGUUUUGAAUCAGACCCAGCAACUUGGAGUUUAAAUGUUAUGGAGUAUAUUUUCAGUUAGCCAAAGAUCUAGUCACUGCAGUUGGAGUAAUUUGCACUUGCAGUUAUCCACAAACAAGAUGAACCAUGGGAGUACAUAUAAGUAGCUAUACUUGUUACUGAAUUGUAGGUACAAAAAUGUGGGUGUAACAUGUGCCUUUAAACAGGAGGCCACUGUUCUGAAAAUUUCACAGCUUCUAAUGUUCUCCUAGGGAGGAAUAUUUGCAUGUGUAAACAAAUGAUCUUCCAAACACUGGCCAUCUAUGAACCUUUCCUUUGGAAGUUGUACAGACAAAUUCAUCUUUCCUGGUGGCUUUCAUACAAGAAUGUCAGAGCUCGUUCCUCUUCCAUAGCUUUCAAAAAAUGGAAAGAAUGGGCUCACUGAACCCUUUGGGAAAUACCAUUUUUAGCGCAGAAUUUAGUUUUGUAUGGCACCUUCCAUGUGGGAGGUAUCCCAAAGUACUUUAGAGAGCAUUAAAUUACAGAGAUACCGGACAUGCAUUGACGAGACAAACAGGGAAGCCAUUAUGCACUCAGCAAGACUUCAUGCAGAAUGUUGGAUAUUAGAAACUUGUUUUAUUGAAGGGGGGAGGGGGAGGAAUGUUGUCAUCAACCAUGACAUCUGGUUUAGGCAGUUCCCUCCACCACCCCCCUUUUUUUUUUUCUUUAAAGGACCGUGAGAUAUUUAACUUCUACCAGCCACCAAAAGUAGGCAGAGGGGACUUUAGUGUAACCUUUCACCUACAGGAUGACACUUCUAACAAUACAAAAAAAAAACAAAAACGUUUUGUACUGCUAUAGCACCUUUCCAAAAUUUGCAUUUACACACGUGUGCUCAAUAGCCAGCAUUUGCACAAACAAACAGGUUUGGGUGCAUCUUUAGAGGUUGCCUUUAAGAUAUACAUUAUAACGUGAAUCAUGUUAGAAAUUAAAAUGGAUAAAGAAAGCUACAAAAUAUUACUAGAAGCAAAUCUCGACUGGUAUUUGAAAAAGCAAUGGUUUUGCUUCUAAUUAAGAAACAAAUGGGUGGAUAUGCUGUGUCAAUUAUAACCUCAAAGUUUGCAGUGAAACAGAACUUAGGGCUCAGUCCUGUAACUCUUAUUCAGGUGCACUGCCCCAUCCAUUUUAGUGUGCUGUCUCUUAUAGGCCAUGAUUGAAGGAUUGAGCCCUUAAUGGAUAAUGGACACAGAAUAAACAUCUAACCCAAAGAUAUGUAACUCAGCUGAUCAGACACAUUUACUGAUUACCAUCCUUUCAAUUUCACUCUGUGCCCUAUUUCAAUAAAAUACGAUGCACUGGAUAUGAAACAUAGGACUUUGUGAACAACAGAGAAAGCAGAAGGACCUGCAUUAGAUUGGUCUUGUGUCUUCCUGUGUUCCUGAAUGUUACUGUGAGAAAGUAUUAAAUGAAAGGAGCAACGGGAGGUAUCAAAACUUUGAAAUGAACUACAGCGUGGAAGCGAAUGGCCCGUCACUAAUAGAACAUUCACACAAAGAGUUGGGGAAAAGCAACUGAAAGCACACACAAUAACAUACAGAAUAAGAGGAUAUAGAUGGAAGAAAGUGAUGCCAAAUCUGUACAAUUACGUUUUUGUCUGUCCUUGAUUUUUGGAAUUUUCUUAUUCAGCAGAGUCCAAUUCAUAUUUACUUUGUUUUCAAGUCUGGAAUACUGUGCAUUUCACUCUAAUAGUCUUCUCUAUUCUAAAUGUUUAUACAGUGUGAUUUACUACAAUGUGGCUGUGUAAUUAUGUUGAUGAUUAGAUAAAACAUUUUUGACAUGAAA